rnacentral:rRNA from 1 species
GUGGGGAAUCUUAGACAAUGGGCGCAAGACUGAUCUAGCCAUGCCGCGUGAGCGAUGAAGGCCUUAGGGUUGUAAAGCUCUUUCAGGGUGGAAGAUAAUGACGGUACUCCCAGAAGAAGCCCUGGCUAACUCAGUGCCAGCAGCCGCGGUAAUACGGAGGGGGCUAGCGUUGUUCGGACUUACUGGGCGUAAAGCGCACGUAGGCGGACCAGAAAGUCAGGGGUGAAAUCCCUGGGCUCAACCCCAGAACUGCCGUUGAAACGCCUUGUCUUGAGGUCGAGAGAGGUGAGUGGAAUUCCGAGUGUAGAGGUGAAAUUCGUAGAUAUUCGGAGGAACACCAGUGGCGAAGGCGGCUCACUGGCUCGAUACUGACGCUGAGGUGCGAAAGCGUGGGGAGCAAACAGGAUUAGAUACCCGGGUAGUCC